CGCAGCUUCUUUUGGUCUUUUGACUUGAGUUUUAUCACCCUAUUCUUCAGGCGGGCUCCUGCCUUGCAAUUUCUUCAACUUGUUGCUUGGAUUUCAAUUGCUUCAACUUGUUGCUUGACUUUUCAUUUAUUGAUCCUGUGCUUCGGGCGGGCUCCUGACUUGCUUUUUUUGACUUUUGAUUUCUUUACCUUGUUGCUUGGCUUUCAACUUCCUCACCCUGUUCUUCAGGCGGGCUCCGGACUUUCAAUAUUCAUCACCCUGUUCUUCAGGCGGGCUCCUGACUUGCAAUUUUAUCACCCUGUUCUUCAGGCGGGCUCCUAAAAUCAAAAUCAAAACUAGAACGAAAAUAUCUCAAACAAAGAUUAUAAUAAAGAAAGAUUUCAUUUUUCUAAAACUAAUGUCCCAUUUUUCAGGAGGGUCCUAAACAGAAAGUAAAAUCCCAUUUUC
rnacentral:lncRNA from 1 species